CUCGCGUGGUGGGCAUUUUUUCCCUUCCUCUGACGAUUACUCUCCUUUGACGCACUCUGGUGACCAGCGGAGGGCGGAGACUCCGGCAAGGAAACUAAAGGAGGCUGUCUGAGGUUUCUGUACACGGUGAUGGCAUUAAAUUAAGUCCCUGGAAGGUGCCCUCAGGUACAGAAUCUCUCAGGGAUCAGCUGAGAUACCUAAGCAGAAACAGAUCAUCUGAAUAAAGACUGAGGCUGUGGAGGAAAGAGACUAUAAAGGCAGUCCAAUGCAAUCCUGAACCAUACCACAAAACUAAACCUGGAUGGACUUCCUUGCUGGGAUUUGCUUGAAAGGACGGUUCUUUUGCCAGCUGCCUGAAGUUUGUAGUGCGAUGACUGCAACCAUUGAUUUGAUGACUAACAGCAGGCUCCCCAUAUAAACCACUGCAUGGCUGAGCCAGGGGACAGCUUCUCAAUAUUUUAGUCCCCAACCCAAACAAACCAAAAGUAAGAAAGGCAAUUUAUGGGACCACUGGGGUACUUUGCUAAUUUUAUAGGUGUGAUAAUGAUGGCUGUGUUUAUUUUACAGCAUCAUUAUCUCCUAGAAAUACAUACUAUGUAUUUUACACAUAAAUUGAUACAACUUUUGCCUUACAAUAAUUUAGCAUGUCUGGGUAAUUGAGGAAGCAGGAUUAGCUGUAUGUCAAUGAUUCUUUGAUGGCCAGGCUCCACGAAUAUGGGGCUGAAUUGUACUAUUACCUCUUCUCUCUCUACAUUUGAAAGUUUCCAAGUGCGCUGUUAAAAGUAUUUCUAUUCAAUUUCACCCCGCUUCCUGAUUUUGGUAGCGUAUACAAAAGGUGCUUAAUCACUGCUUUCAUUUAUCCUAUAAUGACUGCUUUCAUUUUCUUUAAAAUCUAUGCGAUAGCAUGGACUGUUGUACUUACUCCUGUAGACACAACCAC